AGGAAUUAGUCAUUCAAAAGACGGUGAGGAAAAGAAUGGUCGACAAACCUUGUGUGGUGCCUUAACAGUCCAACAGACUAAGGGAUAGAUAAAGGUGGAUCUUGAUUAAACUGCCUGGUUUUGUGGUUUGCACGAGACCGUUGACACAUAGAUCUGAAGUUUAAACUGCCAUAUUCUACUGUCCGCUGCGAGAUCUUGGCUGGAAUGUAAAAGGAAUGUCCAAAAUAUUUAAAUGACAAACAGGAUGGGAACUGAUAAUGAGGAAUAUGCUGAAACAGACAUCUGGCAUAUUCCUAUAAUCAGUAUCAUGGCCUUUGUAUACAACAAAAUUGAUUGGAACUCCUAGACUAGAAAUAUAAUUCAAGAUUUAAAUAAGGCACUGGUCAUAGUUUUAGAAAGUGUGGCUAGCAUUCUGAAGGAAGACAGAGAGAUGGAAAGACAUCAAAGAAUGGGCAGGUCUGCCAAGAAAUGGUUUAUCCAAGGCUAAGUACAGAGAGGAAUAUAGAAGGGCUGUUGACAGAUCUUGUGUGGUGCCCCCAUGGUUCAACAGACUAAUUGAUUGAAAAUAAUACCAGGGCUAUGCUCCUUUGACCAUUGAGUUCCAGGAUGAAGAAUGAAAGACAGAGAGCAAUGUGAAGACAUGAAAGAAUGGGCAGAUCUGCCAUGAAAUGGUUUAUCCAGGGCUAAGUACAGAGAGGAAUAUAGAAGGGCUGUUGACAGAUCUUGUGUGGUGCCCCCAUGGUUCAACAGACUGAUUGAUAGAAUGUAUGAAACAUGACAUCCAUAGGAACAGAUGAUAAGCCUGGGUAAAAAAACAUUUCCAGUGUGUUUGAUGAUUCCAGCAAUACAUAUUAAAUUGGUUAAAUUUGAAUUUUAUCAAUAAAAAUGAGUUAUUAUUUAAUACUUUA